GAUCAUGGCUCAGGAUGAACGCUAGCGACAGGCUUAACACAUGCAAGUCGAGGGGCAUCAUGAGGUAGCAAUACCUUGAUGGCGACCGGCGCACGGGUGAGUAACGCGUAUGCAACCUGCCUGAUACCGGGGUAUAGCCCACUGGAAACGUAGGAUUAACAACCCCACUAGUACUUUAUUCCUGCAUGGGAGUGUGGAGUUAAAUUAGUUUAAGGUUAGUCGGAGUGGGCGAUGCGUCCU
rnacentral:rRNA from 1 species